AGAACGAACGCUGGCGGCAGGCUUAACACAUGCAAGUCGAACGCCCCGCAAGGGGAGUGGCAGACGGGUGAGUAACGCGUGGGAAUCUACCCAGAACUUCGGAACAACUGAGGGAAACUUCAGCUAAUACCGGAUACGCCCUACGGGGGAAAGAUUUAUCGGUUCUGGAUGAGCCCGCGUUGGAUUAGCUAGUUGGUGGGGUAAUGGCCUACCAAGGCGACGAUCCAUAGCUGGUCUGAGAGGAUGAUCAGCCACACUGGGACUGAGACACGGCCCAGACUCCUACGGGAGGCAGCAGUGGGGAAUAUUGGACAAUGGGCGAAAGCCUGAUCCAGCCAUGCCGCGUGAGUGAUGAAGGCCUUAGGGUUGUAAAGCUCUUUCAGUAGGGAAGAUAAUGACGGUACCUACAGAAGAAGCCCGGCUAACUUCGUGCCAGCAGCCGC
rnacentral:rRNA from 1 species